GCGGCGGACGNGUGAGUAACACGUGGGUAACCUGCCUGUAAGACUGGGAUAACUCCGGGAAACCGGGGCUAAUACCGGAUGCUUGAUUGAACCGCAUGGUUCAAUUAUAAAAGGUGGCUUUUAGCUACCACUUACAGAUGGACCCGCGGCGCAUUAGCUAGUUGGUGAGGUAACGGCUCACCAAGGCAACGAUGCGUAGCCGACCUGAGAGGGUGAUCGGCCACACUGGGACUGAGACACGGCCCAGACGCCUACGGGAGGCAGCAGUAGGGAAUCUUCCGCAAUGGACGAAAGUCUGACGGAGCAACGCCGCGUGAGUGAUGAAGGUUUUCGGAUCGUAAAACUCUGUUGUUAGGGAAGAACAAGUACCGUUCGAAUAGGGCGGUACCUUGACGGUACCUAACCAGAAAGCCACGGCUAACUACGUGCCAGCAGCCGCGGUAAUACGUAGGUGGCAAGCGUUGUCCGGAAUUAUUGGGCGUAAAGCGCGCGCAGGCGGUUUCUUAAGUCUGAUGUGAAAGCCCCCGGCUCAACCGGGGAGGGUCAUUGGAAACUGGGGAACUUGAGUGCAGAAGAGGAGAGUGGAAUUCCACGUGUAGCGGUGAAAUGCGUAGAGAUGUGGAGGAACACCAGUGGCGAAGGCGACUCUCUGGUCUGUAACUGACGCUGAGGCGCGAAAGCGUGGGGAGCGAACAGGAUUAGAUACCCUGGUAGUCCACGCCGUAAACGAUGAGUGCUAAGUGUUAGAGGGUUUCCGCCCUUUAGUGCUGCAGCAAACGCAUUAAGCACUCCGCCUGGGGAGUACGGUCGCAAGACUGAAACUCAAAGGAAUUGACGGGGGCCCGCACAAGCGGUGGAGCAUGUGGUUUAAUUCGAAGCAACGCGAAGAACCUUACCAGGUCUUGACAUCCUCUGACAACCCUAGAGAUAGGGCUUCCCCUUCGGGGGCAGAGUGACAGGUGGUGCAUGGUUGUCGUCAGCUCGUGUCGUGAGAUGUUGGGUUAAGUCCCGCAACGAGCGCAACCCUUGAUCUUAGUUGCCAGCAUUCAGUUGGGCACUCUAAGGUGACUGCCGGUGACAAACCGGAGGAAGGUGGGGAUGACGUCAAAUCAUCAUGCCCCUUAUGACCUGGGCUACACACGUGCUACAAUGGGCAGAACAAAGGGCAGCGAAGCCGCGAGGCUAAGCCAAUCCCACAAAUCUGUUCUCAGUUCGGAUCGCAGUCUGCAACUCGACUGCGUGAAGCUGGAAUCGCUAGUAAUCGCG
rnacentral:rRNA from 1 species